CGGAGUCUGCAACUGGGACAGCAAUAGCUCCUGCCGGGGAUCUACCAGAAGAAGAAGAUUCGUUCAUGCCAUUGCCAGACUUUUAGGCUAAAUCCCAGAUUCCUCUUUUCUCUUCUAUUGGGCAGGAGGAGGAGAUAAUGAUUUUAACGUCUCCUCAGGCUCAGUUCUUUCUCUGGAGAUGGACCGCACUACUUUUCACCAUAAAUCCUUCAGAACUGUUUUGGAUCAUAGUAUUGCUGAGAAUAGUUCAGUUAUUCACAAGCAUCCUGCUUGAAAUCUGAAAUCAGAAUAGUAUACCAUCACAAUCCUCGAUAACAACUUGUUCAGCCAUUCUUCAAUUGCUGGACAUCCCCUCACUUUCCAGCUCUUUCUCACCAUUAAAAGCUGUUACAAACA